GACCGAAGGAAGCAUGGUAAUGUGCACAGAAAUUGAUUAGUGUCUCUAGACGUGCCCUCUCUGAUGCCUUUCGGCUUUCAUUUGGGGGCAUGGGUCCGCAGCAAAACG